AUUGAACGCUGGCGGCAGGCCUAACACAUGCAAGUCGAACGGUAGCACAGAGAGCUUGCUCUCGGGUGACGAGUGGCGGACGGGUGAGUAACGUCUGGGAAACUGCCCGAUGGAGGGGGAUAACUACUGGAAACGGUAGCUAAUACCGCAUAACGUCGCAAGACCAAAGUGGGGGACGUUCGGGCCUCACACCAUCGGAUGUGCCUAGAUGGGAUUAGCUAGUAGGUGGGGUAAUGGCUCACCUAGGCGACGAUCCCUAGCUGGUCUGAGAGGAUGACCAGCCACACUGGAACUGAGACACGGUCCAGACUCCUACGGGAGGCAGCAGUGGGGAAUAUUGCACAAUGGGCGCAAGCCUGAUGCAGCCAUGCCGCGUGUAUGAAGAAGGCCUUCGGGUUGUAAAGUACUUUCAGCGGGGAGGAAGGCGGUGAAGUUAAUAGCUUCACCGAUUGACGUUACCCGCAGAAGAAGCACCGGCUAACUCCGUGCCAGCAGCCGCGGUAAGAC
rnacentral:rRNA from 1 species